CGUCCAGGCGUCCGUGCAGGCAUGUGUGUGUGUGUGUGUGUGUAAGGGGAAGGAUACUGACGUCCAGGUGUUCGUGCAGGCAUGUGUGUGUAAGGGGAAGGAUACUGACGUCCAGGCGUCCGUGCAGGCAUGUGUGUGUAAGGGGAAGGAUACUGACGUCCAGGUGUUCGUGCAGGCAUGUGUGUGUGUGUGUAAGGGGAAGGAUACUGACGUCCAGGCGUCCGUGCAGGCGUGUGUGUGUGUGUGUGUGUGUGUGUGUAAGGGGAAGGAUACUGACGUCCAGGUGUUCGUGCAGGCAUGUGUGUGUAAGGGGAAGGAUACUGACGU
rnacentral:lncRNA from 1 species